rnacentral:rRNA from 2 species
AUGCGAUACUUGGUGUGAAUUGCAGAAUUCAGUGAAUCAUCGAAUCUUUGAACGCACCUUGCGCUCCUUGGUAUUCCGAGGAGCAUGCCUGUUUGAGUGUCAUGAAAUCUUCAACCUGCAAGCUUUUGUGGUUUGUAGGCUUGGACUUGGAGGCUUGUCGGCCGUUGUUGGUCGGCUCCUCUUAAAUGCAUUAGCUUGGUUCCUUGCGGAUCGGCUCUCAGUGUGAUAAUGUCUACGCUGCGACCGUGAAGCGUUUGGCGAGCUUCUAACCGUCUCGGUUGGAGACAACUUUAUGACCUCUGACCUCAAAUCAGGUAGGACUACCCGCUGAACUUAAGCAUAUCAAUAAGCGGAGGAA